CGUACUGGUUACUAAAAACAAUUUGAUGGGUUUGUUUAAUUUGGUGGUUCUUAAGUCUGAUGGUGAUGAACCCAGGUGGACACUUAAUCUCAAAACGGUACAGCACAUAUAUAUUCAGUUUGCAAAGGAAGAAUCAUAAACUUUGUACAAGGGUUUGGACCUACAACCUUGAGUGUGUCAAGCACCUUAAUUACCACUCACAUUAGGGUCUGUGAGUGUUGCUGCUUUCCCUAACUCUAAGAAUAAAUAUGCGGAACGGGGUUUUACUCGUUGCUGCCUUAUGAUCAGGACAUUGUGCCCGAAUUUAACCAAAUGCAUGAUAAUACAUUGAAUAGUAAUCAUGCAGAGGUCUGGUUUGAGGAACAUUUGGCAAAGCACAAAAGAGUCUGGAUGUGCAUGUAGAAGUUUGUGCGGAAGCUGUGAUAUCAAUUUUCAGGCAUACACAACUUAGCGACUUCCUGUGCAACUAUUCUUGGUAAUGAACCAAGUUCUUGCUUGUCAGUCUGUGUUGUGCACACCUUCUUUGGUAGGUGAGCAGGAGAGGUUGUGAUUUUAUGAGAGUUUGCGUUAACAGCGUGUCAGUUUCUACUCUGGUUAUUUGAUCACACUACAAGGCUAAGAACAGAGAACCACAGCGGGAGUGUCAUUGAAGACGAGGUUUCAGGGCACAAACUUCGGACGGCAGAGUUGGGGUGGAGCUGAAUCAGUUGAUGGAGUUUUUUUUUAAGGACCGGAAUCCCACUGGGACAAGCGUCUGGACAUUGUGAGUUGCAGUAUGGUAUCCACCGAGGAGGACGUUUGUGAUGCUUCACGAAGGACCAAUGCAUCCCCCUAUGCUUGUGUAUGCUCAUCUCAGGUUCCACAACGGUUGACAUCUUGCAAUUUCACGCGCGAGGUCGUGUCUAUGGAAAGGCAGGUAUCGGCAGACUGUUCAGUGUCCUGCAUCUGUAUCGAUUUUGGAUGCCUAUCCCUGCGCCACAAAAAAUUUGAAGCAGUUAGUCGUUCAUAGUGUCGCGGUUCAAAGUCUGUAGGCGUCAGAAUGCAUCUUCCGCCACAUCCCAGAAACAUGUAAUCAAUUUGAAUGACACAGGAUUACAUAGUAUUCGUUGUGUCGAACGUAGUGCUCUCGACAGGGUGCAUAAUUUUAAUCCAAAUCAGCCAUUCCCCUCAAUUACCAAGAAUAAUUGCGCCUACAUGAGUUGAGACGAAUCCUUGGUUGGGAGUGCCGAUACUAGCCUUCCACUUGUCAUGUCUCAUAUAUUUUUCUGCCGUUUCGGGUGUGAAAUCCUUCAAAGCGUACAUAAUCAUGUUUUUCUCGACUUUCAUGCGUCGACCAAGUGUCGACUGACAUCUGCUGUUGAAGGAAAGGAAACACCGUCGUGUGCCAGAGAAAAAAUAAUUGGUAAUCCUUGCAGAACGUCUAUACUAUCUACCAGCAACCCCUUUCAACCCUUCUCAUUUUCGCAUGCUGCGUGAUGGUAUCUGCACUUAUCAUUUAACCCCAAAGGGUAGCCUCGUGAAAUUGCAGAUUUGUUAUGAUCCGCAUGUUCGUCAAGCUUCUCGAGCGUCUCUGUUUGGAACUCUUCUGCUUCGAACGUUCUGUUCAGUCUGUUUUCUUGGUCAGUAAUCUCACUCACAAGCUUGGACUACCUCAAUAGCUUAGUCUGAUCACUGAAGUUUGAGCCAGCUCUAUUGUUCGAUCUCAGGUGACAAUUUCCAACCACAAUACAGAGAAACUUUUCUUUUAAGUGCAGUCUACUCUUGAAACUCAACUUUGAAAGAAUCGGCUGCAAUUGAUAGACUUUACAACGUGUCUUUGGAACAAUCGAUCUCCGUUAGAGUUGGCAGGAGGUGAUUCUGGAUCUCUUCCAGGUGUUAAAACACAACUUUUUAGAGAGGAUAGUUUCUGGCUACCUUCAUAAACAUUUCAUUAAAAAACCUAAGCUAUUGCCAUGGAUCUUCAAUACCUGUGAUGACCACCUUUGGCAGGCUUCUGUGAACAGUGUGGACGAUCUGCAGAACGCAACUCGAUCUGGAGACCCAUAUUAUGAACUCGCGGAUGAUCUGAAAUGGCCUGCAAAUUAUGCUCCGACUGGAGAAGGGAAUUGAUGAUUAUAGUUCAUGAUGCAAAGUUGGCUUGUGAAUUCUUAGUCGCUGGGCUUCACAACUCUCUGUAGCAGCAUUACUCACCUUGUCAUUUUGUUGACACCUAAUGACAUGAUGUUACUGGCUGCUCAUGUCCUGGAUCCUUGCGGUAAAUAAAACUCGAAGGACAACCAAAGCUCCAAGCAACAUAUUUGUCCAACCGAGAAUCAGGAGCACGUCAAAAGAUACAUUUGUACUUGAAGAGAUUGAUGCUCCAACAGAAAAGGACAUGGAAGCCCAAGGGAACAUGAUCUGGGCAGUUGGUGAAGUUCAUACACCAAUUCUAUCUGCCAGUCUAGAAUCACAUCGACACAACACUUUUUUAAUGUUUUAAAUCAUUGAUUAGGAAAUAUGACUGACAUUUCAAGAGAUCAAUUGAAUAAAUUUCUAGACCGAGUGUAAUCUUUGGGUAUUUAUUAAAAAGUGCAAUAUCUCAGACCAAGUCAAAGUAAAAUAGUUCCAGCUAAUCUGGAUUGUUGAAUGGAUAUGCCGGCCAUGAUUCACGUUCAAUUUGAACACAACUGUGGGCUGGACCUUCCAGUUUGAAUGAACUUUCAGGAAUUUCUGCAGGAUUGAUCCCA